rnacentral:ribozyme from 12 species
AACUUCUUGUUUUUUUUUUUUUCUUUUCUUUUCUUUUCGUUUCUUU